CAUUAGAUGACUGAAAACAAGUACUGGUCUCUUAAACCAUUUUAUAAUAGAAUAGUUCCUAUUUCUAAUG
rnacentral:tRNA from 1 species